GUGACUGCGUACCUUUUGUAUAAUGGGUCAGCGACUUAUAUUCUGUAGCAAGGUUAACCGAAUAGGGGAGCCGGAGGGAAACCGAGUCUUAACCGGGCGUUAAGUUGCAGGGUAUAGACCCGAAACCCGGUGAUCUAGCCAUGGGCAGGUUGAAGGUUGGGUAACACUAACUGGAGGACCGAACCGACUAAUGUUGAAAAAUUAGCGGAUGACCUGUGGCUGGGGGUGAAAGGCCAAUCAAACCGGGAGAUAGCUGGUUCUCCCCGAAAGCUAUUUAGGUAGCGCCUCGUGAAUUCAUCUCCGGGGGUAGAGCACUGUUUCGGCUAGGGGGCCAUCCCGGCUUACCAACCCGAUGCAAACUGCGAAUACCGGAGAAUGUUAUCACGGGAGACACACGGCGGGUGCUAACGUCCGUCGUGAAGAGGGAAACAACCCAGACCGCCAGCUAAGGUCCCAAAGUCAUGGUUAAGUGGGAAACGAUGUGGGAAGGCCCAGACAGCCAGGAUGUUGGCUUAGAAGCAGCCAUCAUUUAAAGAAAGCGUAAUAGCUCACUGGUCGAGUCGGCCUGCGCGGAAGAUGUAACGGGGCUAAACCAUGCACCGAAGCUGCGGCAGCGANGAUGUUGGCUUAGAAGCAGCCAUCAUUUAAAGAAAGCGUAAUAGCUCACUGGUCGAGUCGGCCUGCGCGGAAGAUGUAACGGGGCUAAACCAUGCACCGAAGCUGCGGCAGCGAACGUAUCACCCAAGACAACUUUACGGAGUUGACGAUUGACGGAGCGAAGCGACGUCAAAGCGUUCAUUAAAGUCGAGUUGGCUUAGGGAUACGUUCGUUGGGUAGGGGAGCGUUCUGUAAGCCUGCGAAGGUGGCCUGUGAGGGUUGCUGGAGGUAUCAGAAGUGCGAAUGCUGACAU
rnacentral:rRNA from 1 species